rnacentral:misc_RNA from 1 species
GAUCCAUUGCAACAUUUGGAGAUAGCAGACUGUAAACAUAAGCGAUAGGCAUUAAUUGGGGUUGUUAUAGCUGCUGGUGUGGAAGUAAAUGAGAAUGGCCAUGUCGGACCUCUUCACCAAAAUUGGGACAGAAAAAAAAAAUUAACUCCUUCUUUCUCUUCUCAGACAAUGAUUUCAGAAUCAUUAUUACAAGAUUGGAAAACCUUACGUUCUGAUCUAUUCCUACUCAACAUCCGCUUCAAAGAACAACCCAGAGAAGAAGAAGAAGAUGAUGAU